rnacentral:rRNA from 1 species
AGGUGUGGGCAGUGUAGAAGCCGUCUGUGCCGGAGCAAACGCGAUAAGUUCACCGCCUGGGGAGUACGGUCGCAAGGCUAAAACCCAAAGGAAUUGACGGGGGCCCGCACAAGCAGCGGAGCGUGUGGUUUAAUUCGAUGCAACGCGAAGAACCUUACCUGGGCUUGACAUGUACGUAGUAGUGAAGGGAAACCGGAACGAGCCUUCGGGCAGCGUAGACAGGUGCUGCAUGGCUGUCGUCAGCUCGUGUCGUGAGAUGUUGGGUUAAGUCCCGCAACGAGCGCAACCCGUGUUGCUAGUUACAAGUGUCUAGCGAGACUGCCGGUAACAAGCCGGAGGAAGGUGCGGAUGAUGUCAAGUCAGCAUGGCCUAUAUGUCCAGGGCUACACACACGCUACAAUGGCUGGUACAAAGAGAAGCGAAAGGGAGACCUGAAGCGAAUCUCAUCAAAGCCAGUCAUAGUUCGGAUUGCAGGCUGCAACUCGCCUGCAUGAAGUCGGAGUUGCUAGUAACCGCAGGUCAGCAAUACUGCGGUGAAUACGUUCCCGGGCCUUGUACACAC